rnacentral:lncRNA from 1 species
UGUUGACACAUAAAAAUUCAGCCCAAAAUGAACAACCUAAGAAGUAAAGCCCAAUUGGAGGAUCCCCAAAUUAGAUAGCCCAAAGAACGAAGUCCAAUCGAACAAAUCAAGGUGAAGGCACAAGAAUGCGGUGACGUCAUCGCCCAAGUUUGCAAGUCGCCCAGAAUCUGAACGAAUAGAGUGUCAAACGGUCGCCCAGAGCUGUUACUCUAUUUCUCGCCCAAACCUUCAAGUCGCCCAAAGUAUCAACAAACAUAACGCGUCGUAGUUAUCAAGAAAUGCAGUUAUCAAAGCAGUUGUUAAAGCAGCCCUAUCACGUUCCACGAUUCAAGGAAUUCAAUCGAAAGCGGUUGAACGAUGAAAGGUAAUGGCAGUAGUUAAAAGGCAGUUUUCAUGACAAAAUGGUCACUACGAAGAAAGUGGGUAGUUAUAGGGCGAUCAAGCAGUUUUUAGAGUAGUUAAUCACAAAGGGAUUGCCUAUGAAGUAUAAAAGGGAGAAAGGACAUAGAAGCAAUGACCGAAUCCAAAACUCUCGAACAGAGAAUAUGUAAUUUUCAUUUCCUUAGUUUUUAGACUUAAACACUUUCCUUUCAGUAACUCGUGUGCUUGCGCCCCUUGGAGGCACGUUAUUUUUCGUUUCCAAUUGUAAAGUCAUCGCCAAUAAAAGAACACCCCUUUUUGGGAAUUUGUCCCAAGAGGUUUGUCCCUUACACAAUCGUCUGAUCCUUUUUAAUUGUUAGCGACUAACCCGCGCGAAACAAUUUGGCACGCCCAGUGGGACAGUGGUGUUAGGUGUUGAAAGUACAAAAGGGGAAACAAUAUGCCUCAGAGAUCCGAUAAGGAAGCAGCAAGUCAGGGAGGAAUCCAGUCUGUAAUCGAGCGAUAUGAGGAGCAGCAUGUCUCUCCACGAACAGAUGGACAAAAUCAGAGCAGUAACAGUCGUUACGAACCAAUGACGGAGUUGAGUCCUCGAACUAUGCGUGCAUUACUCGGAGAACUCACGCAAGACGUCGUUGAACAGGUAAAUCUUCGAAGUAUUCAUAAUAUGGAAAGAUUUACACAAAAUGGGAAUGUACACUAUGACAACAUGGCCAAACAACUAAAGACGUUGAAUGAAACAAUGAACAAGUUAGUGGGCCAAAUAUGUCAACCGGCUAUACCUCUUACAAGUCACUUUCAAACUAGGACGAUUGUAGGACAUAAUCCUUCAGUCUCCAAUCUGAGUCAAGGGGUAGAACCACUUUCUGGUCCCUCUACUUCAAACCAAGGAGGUACUACAGUACCAAAUCAAAGCAAUGGUAGUGGUACGCCUAACUUGGGGGGGUAAUCCAAACAUGAGAGAUAAUGUCUUAAACAAUGGACAGAAUAUCCCACAUGGUAAUGAGGGAGUAGAUGUUCAAGCUAAUGGUAAUGGUCCUAAUCAUGGUAAUUUCGUUGCCAAUCAAGGACCAAACAUCAGGCCUCACGCAAACCAACUGGUUAACCAACCUGUAAGAAUUCCAUAUGACCCCAACGUCAUGUUGAGGAACCAGAUUAUGGAAAUCGUACAGGAUCAGAUGGCUUUUGGGGUGCGUCCCGUCAUUAGGCCGACGUACACAAAGCCAUAUCCUGAUUGGGUAGAUCAAGCAUAUCCAUGGCCUAGAGGAUACAAAGUGCCAGAAUUCUCACUGUUUACUGGUUUAGGAGAGGUGUCUACUCUAGAACACAUAGGGCGAUUCACAUUGCAAAGUGGUGAUGUAACUGAUUACCAUAAAAUGAGACUUUUCCCUAGUUCGUUAACAGGAGUAGCCUUCUCCUGAUUCAUCAACUUGCCAACGAACUCUAUUCAAACAUGGCAACAAUUGGAACAGUUGUUUCACGCUCAGUUUUAUAAAACUGAGUCUGAAGUCACUUUAGCCGAUUUGGCGAAUUUACGUCAAAUGCCAAAUGAAUGGGCAGAAAGUUUUCUCCAAAGGUUCAAGACAGCAAGAAGCAAGUGUUUUGUACCUCUGCCCGAAAAAGAAUUUUUCAAAAUCGCUCCAGGCUGCUUGAGCUUUGAUUUAAAAAAGAAGUUCCAGGAUAAAGAAUUCCCUGACCUUUUCCAGUUGAGUGCAAAUGUGAUUAGGUAUGAGCGAUUGAUAAGAGAAGAAGAAGAAAUGAAAAAUUCUAGUAAAGGGACUUAUUACAAAGACCUAAAUUUUAAUGUUCAUACCAUCGACAACGAGUCAUACGAUCAGGCCGAAAUGUGUUUGGCCGAAUUGGUCAAAGGGGAUACAUAUACUUGUCCCAUAAUGACCAAGCCUAGACCAUCGGGCAAAGAUGAGCCUAUAAAGGAUGGAAACAUAAAGGCUAGAACGUUCUCGUUCGAUGUGACCAAAGCUGACCUUAUAUUCGACAAAUUAUAUAGGGAUAAGCAGAUAAGAUUGAGCGAUAAGCACAAAUUGCCAAACCCUGAACAAAUUAAGGGUAAAAAAUAUUGUAAAUGGCAUAAUGCAUGGUCACAUUUGACUAACAAUUGCUUGGUUUUCCGUCAUGUAUUGCAGGAUGCUAUUGAAUCAGGACGAAUUACGUUCGAUGAUAAGAAAAAGAUGGCAGUGGACGAGAAUCCUUUCCCACAGCCACUUGGAGUAAACAUGGCAACAUCUGGAUUCAAGAACAAGUUACCAAAAUUCAAGUUAGUCAUAGAUGACGGAGAAGAAGAUCCUAGAUCACAUCCCAGCGUCUUUGAACGAAUCAAAGGAAAAGAACCAAAAAAGGACGAAGACGUCCUGUGUGCAAGGUGUAAAAGGGAAGUAAAUGGAAACACGGAGAAACCAGAGACAUGGCAGCAUCCUCAUCGCCCUGUUUUCUUCCCAAACGUUCAGUCUGGUAGAGGUAUAGAGGACCGUCUUUUGAAAGGUAGUUCAGACCAGCAGAUGCUGGAAGAACAUUUAGGCCGCAACCUCGCAGGCCAAAUGUAUGGCAUUCAUUCCAGUAUACUGCAGGAAGGGCAAUACCCUUCGAUGAGAUGACUAGGACCCAACAAAGGCGUUUCCAACGAAACUACGGACGGAUGAUGAGGCAGCAACAAGGAAUGCCACAUCCUAAAGCGCCUAUACUACUCAAGGUAGCCAAUCAAAAUGUCCUCAAAGAUAGUGAAGAGACCGGUAUAGAUGAAUCAAUGAAGAAACUGCCAGAAACCUCUUCUGGGAGAUCAAGGUUUGAGAGGGACAAGAGGGAUGAGGAAGAUCCAGAUCAGCCCCUUGCUAUCCAAUUCGGUACGUUGCCUCCUGUUGUGGCCAAUAAUUACCUACUGGCCAAUGAAUUCAAGAAUAAGGAAAAGAAAGAAGAGGGGGAGGACAACGAAGGAGAAGCCUGCAUGUUGAUAUGUGAAGAAGGCCAGACUUCUGGAGAGGCUUACAACGACGAAGAAGACGAUGGGAUGACGGACAUUGAAGAAGAAAUCGAUCUAGAAGCAGAAAGGAAAAAGAGAGGAGUAUCGCGCAAUACUCUGUUUAAGCAACUACAUCAAGAGGGAGUUCGCGAAGUAGACUUGUUGGGGGAGCCAUCUGGGCGACCUUUCGAUUUCUACGUACUGUACGGGACACCCAAAAGGAAGAAGAGAGUGCCUCGCUCUGAAAAAUAUGGGUCACCUCCAAGGAUAAUGCCCCCUUCCACAGGUUGGAUAACCGACGAGGAAGUAUUAGAAAAAAGUAAGAAGGAAGUUUAGAGGACAGAGGAUCAGCGUGACAUACUGCAAGUCGACUUGUCACAAGGGGAUAAUUCAACAGAAAACAAACAAGAGGUAGAAAUAGAGGCUGCCGAAAAGGUUAUUUUUAAACGUCCAGCCAUGAAAUUGACUAAACACUUGAGGCCGUUGUACGUUAAAGCUCUAGUCAACGGCGUUCCAGUGGCAAAAGUGUUUGUCGACAAUGGAGCAGCUAUAAACACGAUUCCAAGUAGGAUGAUGAGAAAGUUCGCAAAAACAGAGGGUGACAUGAUCCCUACAGAAGUCAUCCUUACUAGCUUCAAUGGAGGAGCAACUUCGCUAAGGGAGUUAUGCCAUUAGACAUAACUAUAGGUACGACUACUAGGACCACUGUCUUCUUUGUAAUAGAUGGUUCUACUAGUUACAACGUGCUCCUGGGAAGGGAUUGGAUACACGAAAGUCGCUGUAUACCCUCGUCGCUCCAUCAAUGCCAUAUUUUUUGGAAUGACAAAGGCGAAGCAGAGGUAGUACAGGCCGAUCAUAGGCCUUUUGUCGUAGAAGUAAACUCGGUGGAGAAGUUCAUGUACGAAGGAAACUAUGGACCUGUCAGAGUAGUGCAAGACGGGGAAGAAACUCAGGUCGUCGCACAAAGCGAAGAACAAUUCUCAAUGGAUGCACUCACUGAAAUGUUCAAACAAAUGCGGCCAAAUAUAGUGGCCCUGGAAGAGCCAGUGAUUGGCAAAAGGAUAAUUAAAGAGUCUUGAAUGGACUUUAAAUUACGAAAGCAAAUGUCCGACAUUCAGGCCUUCAAAGCCAGACUGAUGGCUUUCAACAAGGAAUACAAUGACAAAGCAAAGGAAGAGACUGCCCUAAAAGUGCUGAAGGACAAGUUGGCAGUGUUCGAGUUAGAGCAAAGUAUUGGUCGAGAAGUGAACAAGGUGGAUUGUUUGGAAGAGGAAGUACUUACAAAAGAACUGGACAACGAAGUGAUGCGGAUUGCCAAACCUGGAUACGCUCAAGCACAAGACCCUCUGAUCAAAGUAAAUAUUGGCGAUGAAGGAGAAGAUCACCCAACGUUCAUCAGCCAGAUGCUCGACCAAGAGGUUAGUAACGAAUUAAUCGCUUUGUUAAAAGAGUACAAAGAUUGUUUUGCUUGGGAAUAUGAACAAAUGCCUGGUUUAGAUAGAAAUUUGGUGGAACAUAGGUUACCAACUAAGCCUAAUUUUAAACCUCAUAGGCAACCUCCUAGGCGUUUUGCUCCUGAUGUACUCCCUGAGAUUAAAAAAGAGAUAGAGCGAUUAUUAAAAGCAGGUUUUAUAAGAACAGCCAAAUAUGUUGAAUGGUUGUCGAAUAUUGUGCCAGUACUAAAAAAGAAUGGUAAACUAAGGGUGUGUAUAGACUUUAGGAAUUUAAACAUAGCUACACCCAAAGAUGAGUAUCCAAUGCCCACGGUGGAUUCUUUAGUAGAUUCAACUGCUGGACAUGUCAUGUAUUCUUUCAUGGAUGGGUAUUCAGGAUACAAUAAAAUUUAUAUAGCUGAAGAAGACAUACACAAAACUGCCUUUAGAUGCCCUGGGUCUCUGGGAUGUUUUGAUUGGGUAGUUAUGCUUUUCGACCUAAAAAAUGCAGGGGCAACUUAUCAAAGGGCAAUGAAUUUAAUCUUUCAUGAUAUGAUAGGCAAGUUUGUUGGGGUGUAUGUAGACGACAUAGUAGUCAAGUCCAUUAAAGAAAAGGACCAUUUCGGACAAUUAAGAUGCUCGUUUGAACGAAUGAGGCAGUACAAACUAAAGUUGAAUCCCUUGAAGUGUGCAUUUGGUGUUAAUGCAGGGAACUUUCUUGGUUUCUUAGUACACAAGAGAGGGAUUGAGCUUGAUAAAAAUAAAGCGAAGGCGAUUUUAGAAGCCAAACCACCUAACAACAAAAAGGAGUUGCAAAGAUUUCUAGGCCAAGUAAAUUUUUUAAGACGCUUUAUUUCUAACUGUGCAGGGCGAACUAAAGUCUUUUCGCCGCUAUUAAAGCUGAAAAAUCAGGACGAAUUCGUCUGGAAAGAAGAACAUCAAAAGGCUUUUGAAAGCCUGAAGACAUAUCUAUCAGGCCCACCAGUGUUGGUGUCACUAAUCCAAGGACGACUGAUGAAAGUGUACGUGUCGGCUGAAAAAGAAUCAAUAGCUGGAAUGGUUGCACAGGAAGACCAAUUUGAUGAAGAAAUGGCAAUUUACUACUUAAGUAGACGGUUAACGAAAUGUGAAUGUAAUUACUCCGCUGUUGAAAAAUUAUGUCUUGCACUGUAUUUCACAUGUACAAAAUUAAGGGCUUAUUUGCGGCCUGUAAUCGUUUAUUUAAUUUCUAAAGUAAAUUUAGUUAAGUGUAUGUUCUCACGCCCUAUUUUACACCAAAGGGUAGGCCUUUGGACACUAGUUUUAUCAGAGUUCGAAAUACAAUAUAUACCUCAAAAGGCAGUCAAAAAUCAGGCUUCGGCUAACUUUCUAGCCGAUCAUCCAUGCCUUGACAUGCCUGAAGAAAUCGAAUUAGAAAUCAAUUCGUUCGAAUUAAAACCUUGGGUAUUGUAUUUCGAUGGGUCAAAAACCUCUAAAUGUGCAGGAGUAGGAGUAGCAUUAAUUAAUCCUUUAGGGAUUUGCUACAAGUUUGCAUUCACCUUAGACAGAAUGUGCACCAACAAUCAGGCCGAAUAUGAAGCUUUGAUUGUAGGCCUAGAACUAAUGAUAGAUAUGGGAGUAAGAAAUGUGAUCGUUAAGGGCGAUUCUCAAUUGGUGAUACAUCAAUUGAUCGGUGAUUUUAAAUGCCAAAGUGAUUCCAUUAUAAGUCAAUAUGAGAUCGCCCAAGAAUUAUUAGAGGAAUUCGAUCAAGUAGAACUUCAAUGCUUUAAUAGGAUAUAUAACGACGUGGCAAAUGAGUUAGCCCAAAUGGCUUCAGGGUACUCAAAGGUCUUGGAUUGGAAAUCUACUUGUGAGUAUAGAAUCAUAUUGCCCGUAACUCAAAGAAGGGCGAGAAAAACUGAACUUCACUGUAUACAAGAUGGAGAUGCAGUGGAUUGGCGAACAGAGAUUAAAGGGUUCCUUAAAAAACCUAAUGGAGGGAUUAGUAGAAAACGAAGCUAGUUCGCUGAAUUACACACUAAUAGAUGAAGAGUUAUUUAAGAAAUGCUCUUAUGGUGUAUUACUAAAGUGUGUAAGUUUGCAAGAAGCCAAGACGAUCAUGGCUGAAGUGCACGAAGGGAUAUGUGGAGCUCAUCAAGCUGGCCAAAGGAUGAGAUGGUUAAUUAUUAGGAGUGGAUAUUUUUGGCCAAAGAUGGGAGAACUAUGAGUUCAGUAUGCAAAAAGUUGUUUAGCAUGCCAAAAGCAUGGUCCAAUACAAAGGGCGCCAGCACGAGAAAUGGCACAUAUUAUUAAGCCUUGGCCGUUCAAAGGUUGGGCGAUAGAUCUAAUAGGGAAAAUCUACCCCCCAUCGUCCAAGCAACAUACUUUUGUUAUAGUUGCAACAGACUAUUUCACCAAAUGGGUAGAAGCGGUACCUUUGAAAGAGAUCACCCAGAAGAAUGUUAUAGAGUUUAUCCGUGAUCACAUCAUUUAUAGGUUUGGAAUUCCACAAACUUUAAUGGUAGAUCACGGAACAUCUUUGAAUGGAGAUCAAGUGAACAAAUUUUUGAACGAAUUUGGGGUUAAAUUAGUAAACUCCACACCGUACUACGCUCAAUCCAACGGACAAACAGAAUCCUCUAACAAGAUUCUAAAAAAUAUCAUCAGGAAGAUGAUAGACGAAAACGCCAGAAAUUGGCACGAAUGUUUGAACAAGGCCUUAUGGGCUUAUAGAACAUCACCUCGGUCAAGUACCAAAAUUACUCCUUUCCAACUUGUUUAUGGACAGGAGGCAGUUUUGCCUAUGGAAAUCAACGUGCAAUCUAUUCGAGUGUGCUUACAACAUAAGUUGAAUGAUGAUGAGUAUGCCGAAUCACUAGUUCAAAAUUUAUUGAGUUUAGACGAAUUGAAGUUGGACAUUUUAGAUAGGUUGCAAGUUCAAAAGCAAAGAAUGGCUAAGUUUUAUAAUAAAAAAGUCAUAGCCAAGUCGUUCAGCCUGGGUGAACUAGUUUGGAAAAUGAUACUCCCUUUGGAUACCAAAGAUCCAAAGUACGGGAAGUGAUCGCCCAAUUGGAAAGGACCAUACAAAAUAAAUAGUGUGUUGCCUAAUGGAGCGUACAACUUGGAAGAUUUAGACGGCACCUAGCACGUAAGAUUCAUUAACGGCAAAUAUUUGAAAAAAUAUGUUCCUUCUUUAUGGGAAUGUGAACAGGUAAAAACAUAACCAAACAUUCUGGACGAUCAAAAGAUAAUAAAGACAGAGCGAAAUACGUUCAAAUAAAGUUCUUUAUUACCAAACGUUCAUUACAAGAAUACAAAAGAUACAAAUAAUGGACGUGUUACAAAAUACAACUAAAGUAAGACGAUCUCCAAGUCGAUCGCUGAGUAAGCUUCACACCGCCUUCCUAAAUGCAUUGCUGUAAUGGUGGGAUCGACGAGUAAGAGGGUGUACUGGCCUCACCACCUUCCUAAAUGCAUCGCUGCAAUGGUGGGAUUGACGAGUGAGAGGGUGUACUGGCCUCACCACCUUCCUAAAUGCAUCGCUGCAACGGCGAGCAAAUAGGCUGAGAAACACUCUCAGCAGGCAAGCUGAGAAGCACUCUCAGCAAGCAAAGUGGCCCACAAGCAACCCAAAAAUUGCCUUCCAUCAUUGACUCCUUGUGAAGAACAAAGAGACGAUGGGAAGAAUUUUGCAGGAAAGAACUUCGCUGCUGGCCAGAAAAUAUUUCCUAUACCUCCCAUACCAAAGGUGACAUCAAGGUAAAUAAGCAGUUAAAUGCUUAAAGAAUUGAUGAUUAGAAAAUAAACAUCAAAUAAAUGCACAAGAAAUUAAUGUUCAUUAAUAGUGAACAAAGUUACAAAGAGAAAAAUCGAAUUACAAAAAAAAAAAAAAAAAAAGACAUUGUAUGUCUUAAUUACAGUCUACCCCAUAAUGAACGAAUUCGUUCCCUAAGUUUUUUCCAAUCCUCUUUCUGUCGAGAGGAAGUGAUGUUCAAUUUAGCCGUGACGUCAUCAUCAUCAACUUCCAAUUUCUUGUACUGUUUGACCAAAGACUUAGUUCGCUCAAUUCCCUGGGAGGCGUUGCGCUUUUUAGUAGCCAUCCUCGCCCUGCAAUCAUCCAUUUUAGCUUGAAGUUCUCUCAUCUGAGCAGCCAAGUUAACCAUCAAAGAGUCUUCAAUCAUGACUUCGGAAGAGAUUUCUUUCAACUCGUCCUUAGCCUUGUUGAUCUCCAUGUGCAAAGACUUUUUCUCAGCUACGGCUCGAAGAUAUUGAGUACGCUUCGCCUUUAGUUCAGCAUUCUUGGCCAGCAUAGAAAGGACCUCGGAGUGAAUGACCUUCAACGUCGCUUUAAAGUCGGCAGAAAGAUUGAGCGACGGAAGCGUCAGUGCUUGCUCCAACUUCGCACUCAGGUGCUCAAGUUCAUCCUUAUGUCUGGCAGCACUAGCCCUUCCAAUGUCCAUAUCCAUGAAGGAUACAUACUCAAAUACCAACUCCUUCAAGAACUUCAAAUCUUCUUCUGAAGAAGUAGCAGGACAAUCAGAUGGAGCAGGGCGAGGCAUUUGGACCUGCCCCCAGGAAGCGAACAAGUCCUGGAUAGAACGCACAAUUCUGUCAGCAUCCUGUAAGGAAAAUUACCAACAUUAAAAAUCCUCACUACAACGAACAAGGUGGAAAUAAAAAUGAAGCAAAGACUACCUCGUCAACAAUCGUAGAAGAUGGCGGGCCCUCAGCCAAGCUUGCCACCAACGACUCAUCCAUUCGUGAAGACUUCCCCUUGUCCGAGCGAGAAGAUGUUGCCACAACGGGCGGACUCAUAGGAGUAUUUGCAAAGCUCAAGGGCAACAAAUCAAAAACCAAUAGCACGAGCAAAGGUAAGACAUCAAAAACUGAAUUACCUUCUGCUUCGAUGUUUGGGGGGUUGACGCCCUGGGAAGAAGGUGGCUCAUCCAUGGGUUGUGAUGAGGAUUCUGGGACUGAAGAUGUCUCUUUAAGUGUAGCCCCCUCAUCAACCGGUUUGGAUGAAGUACCCUCAACAGAAGAUGAUGGAGCAGGAGUUGUCGAUGUCAAAGCCUUUAAAGGAGAGGCUGAACUUUUCUGAGAAAUCCAAAAGAUCAUCAGCACGCAGAAAAGUUUCAAGUGUUGAAAGAUGUACUUGUAAGUAAGCCAAUUUAAUUACCUUCCUCCUGACAAUAAGAGGGGCAUCAUCAUCAUCAUCGACAUCAUCCUCCAGAAUGGGAGAUGCUGAGGCUGGCCGUUUGCGGCUUGGAGCACUCUUGGCCGUAGUAGGCUUGGCGGGGAGGGAAGAAGAUGGACGAGCAGAUGGUUUAGUGCGACGAGAAGGAGAGGGGCUCCAAAUAGACAAAGGAGUGACCAAAACAGGAGGAGGAGAAGAGAUACUCGGUUGGUCUAAUGAAUGAAAGGCACGAUUGGCCUCAGUCGCAAAUAAUCUGCGCUUCACCGAUGGCCAGAGUUGUUCAAAAAGAGGGUGAGUAGCAUGACAAGAAUUAAAAGGGGCCAAUGAAAAGUGGCUUGAUAAAUGGAGGUUGCGAGCGUUUAUAGCCUCUGCCUCCGCCUUAUUAAUGGUAUGAAAACGGUCAAUUAAGUUCUGCGAAUAGCAAAGAGGAACAGGCCAAGUUUGGCCAAAACCAAGCUGACGAGCAAAAAAUUGGGGAGCAUAAAUUUCUACUCCCGCUUUGGCAUUGGUCCCAGUUAAGAUAUCAUGGAAAAGCUCCCUCCCGGUUAAAAACUGGAUCCAAAUGAGCAGGGAGGUGCUCGCGCUAUCUAUAGUAGAAGGGGGAUGUACAUAAUUUGGAGUCAAAAAAGGAGGAAAAGGAAAAAAGGAAGAGAUUGAAUCUAAAGAAUAAAAGAAGGAAAAAAUGUCCCUUCUGGACAUAUUUACAGGAGUUAAGGGCUCCAUAGCUAGCCCGUAACAGCUAGCAGAAGGACGAGAAAUGAAUGGAGCACCAAGCGAUGGAAAAUAGGAUCUCAACCACAGUUGAGUGAACCAAAGAGGUCCACUGCCAGUGGGAGAUGCACCAUUCUUUAAUUGAGCUUGAAGAAAAGCCAUACCUCUAUAAGGGGCAGCCAAAAACAAAGAACAUAAAUUCAAAGGCCUGCCACGCGCCAUUUCGUGCGCUAUAGGUAAAUAACUCAGAGAAGGCUUUAUACUUGGCACACACAAAACAUAUUUACAAAACCAAACUAAAAGAAAGGCCACUCGCUCAGCAUGUGUAGGCUCAGCGCUCGAAUGAUUGUGGAGGGUCUGCAGGCUUGAAUAAGAAUCGGUGUAGUUUUUGCCAAACUUUAGGGCGCCACCAGAAACUAAGAUACCUGGGAAAAUGGUAUCGCCCAAAGGUGGCAGAUUCACCAGGGCCCCAACAUCCCUUAAGGUAAUAGACAUGGGGCCAAGGGGGAAAAUAAAGGUGUUAUACUCAGGGGACCAAAAACUCAAAGCAAUCGGAAAGAGCGCUGAAUCAAAAGUAGGGGGCAAAUAGAGAUUUCCAACAAAUCAGAAAUCCUAGCGCUAUCAAAAAGUGCCUUAGUAGGACCAUGACCCACAAGACGAGCAUGCCACCUACGAAAAGCUACGUCAGAUUUAGGCCAAGUGCGAAUACCUCUUUCGCGAAGUGGCUACAACGGUAAAGAAUUCAGGAAUGGAGGACCUUGAGUGCAAGGAAACACUUCCAACAAAUCAGAAAUCCUAGCGCUAUCAAAAAGUGCCUUAGUAGGACCAUGACCCACAAGACGAGCAUGCCACCUACGAAAAGCUACGUCAGAUUUAGGCCAAGUGCGAAUACCUCUUUCGCGAAGUGGCUCCAACGGUAAAGAAUUCAGGAAUGGAGGACCUUGAGUGCAAGGAAACAGUUAACCCACCGCCGCUUGUUCAACUGCCUCUGCAUUGUUGAAGAAAGGACCCAAGUAGAACUCAUUACGUCCAACGUCGGCAGGUGCGAGAAAACUUGGGGUUAUGUAUGGGCGACUCAGAAGUCUCUGAAAGUCGUCAAAACUGAAAGAAUCGCUAGCUUGAGAUUGUGAAGCAGCCAUUGGAGAAGGAACGAAGCUUGUCAGGGUUACGUAGCAAGGAAGCAAAAGAUGAACAGUGAAUCGUGAAAGAGACGCAGAAAAUAUGAGGCGUGGUUUGGUAGCAGUGAAAUGACGUGUUCGAGGUUUAUAAGGGUUUGCAAAACGACGCACCUUUUCAAGUUAUAGAAAGAAACAAUGAUUGAAAUUCUUGGGAAUUUCGAACGUUGCUAGAAACACAAAGUGAAUAUGGCAAAAUUCAAUAAUUAUUAUUAAUUCUGCCAUAUUGAGGGGUAAUUGUUGACACAUAAAAAUUCAGCCCAAAAUGAACAACCCAAGAAGUAAAGCCCAAUUGGAGGAUCCCCAAAUUAGAUAGCCCAAAGAACGAAGUCCAAUCGAACAAAUCAAGAUGAAAGCCCAAAUAAGGAGGCCCAAGAAUGCGGUGACGCCAUCGCCCAAGUUUGCAAGUCGCCCAGAAUCUGAACGAAUAGAGUGUCAUACGGUCGCCCAGAGCUGUUACUCUAUUUCUCGCCCAAACCUUCAAGUCGCCCAAAGUAUCAACAAACAUAACGCGUCGUAGUUAUCAAGAAAUGCAGUUAUCAAAGCAGUUGUUAAAGCAGCCCUAUCACGUU